rnacentral:rRNA from 1 species
AUACGGAGGGUGCAAGCGUUAAUCGGAAUUACUGGGCGUAAAGCGUACGUAGGCGGUUUAUUAAGUCAGAUGUGAAAGCCCCGGGCUUAACCUGGGAACUGCAUUUGAAACUAGUAGACUAGAGUAUGGUAGAGGGGGGUAGAAUUCCUAGUGUAGCGGUGAAAUGCGUAGAUAUCAGGAGGAAUACCAGUGGCGAAGGCGGCCCCCUGGACCAAUACUGACGCUGAGGUACGAAAGCGUGGGGAGCGAACAGGAUUAGAAACCCGGGUAGUCC